GCCUGAGUUGCGCAUAUUUUUUAUAUAAUAAUCAUGUAGUUGUACGUUACAUCAUAUGACGCAGGGGACUCAAAAUCCCCCGCCGCAAGGCGUGCCGGUUCGAUUCCGGCCCUGGGCACCA
rnacentral:tRNA from 1 species